rnacentral:rRNA from 1 species
UUGGUCAUUUAGAGGAAGUAAAAGUCGUAACAAGGUCUCCGUUGGUGAACCAGCGGAGGGAUCAUUACCGAGUUUACAACUCCCAAACCCCUGUGAACAUACCAAUUGUUGCCUCGGCGGAUCAGCCCGCUCCCGGUAAAACGGGACGGCCCGCCAGAGGACCCCUAAACUCUGUUUCUAUAUGUAACUUCUGAGUAAAACCAUAAAUAAAUCAAAACUUUCAACAACGGAUCUCUUGGUUCUGGCAUCGAUGAAGAACGCAGCAAAAUGCGAUAAGUAAUGUGAAUUGCAGAAUUCAGUGAAUCAUCGAAUCUUUGAACGCACAUUGCGCCCGCCAGUAUUCUGGCGGGCAUGCCUGUUCGAGCGUCAUUUCAACCCUCAAGCCCCCGGGUUUGGUGUUGGGGAUCGGCGAGCCCUUGCGGCAAGCCGGCCCCGAAAUCUAGUGGCGGUCUCGCUGCAGCCUCCAUUGCGUAGUAGCUAACACCUCGCAACUGGAACGCGGCGCGGCCAAGCCGUUAAACCCCCAACUUCUGAAUGUUGACCUCGGAUCAGGUAGGAAUACCCGCUGAACUUAAGCAUAUCAAUAAG